rnacentral:rRNA from 1 species
CACCGCCCGUCACACCAUGGGAGUUGGUUUCACCCGAAGGCAGUGCGCUAACCGCAAGGAGGCAGCUGACCACGGUGGGAUCAGCAACUGGGGUG